rnacentral:rRNA from 1 species
AAACUUUACACUGCACGACAGUGCGAUAGGGGGACACCGAGUGCGAGGGCAUAGAGCCCUCGCUUUUCUGAACCUUAAGGUGGUUCAGGAACAAGGGCUGGGCAAGACCGGUGCCAGCCGCCGCGGUAACACCGGCAGCCCAAGUGAUGGCCGAUUUUAUUGGGCCUAAAGCGUCCGUAGCUGGCCGCGCAAGUUCGUCGGGAAAUCCACGCGCUUAACGUGUGGGCGUCCGGCGAAAACUGUGCGGCUUGGGACCGGAAGAUCUGAGGGGUACGUCUGGGGUAGGAGUGAAAUCCCGUAAUCCUGGACGGACCACCGAUGGCGAAAGCACCUCAGAAGGACGGAUCCGACAGUGAGGGACGAAAGCUAGGGUCUCGAACCGGAUUAGAUACCCGGGUAGUCCUAGCCGUAAACGAUGCUCGCUAGGUGUGGCACAGGCUACGAGCCUGUGCUGUGCCGUAGGGAAGCCGUGAAGCGAGCCGCCUGGGAAGUACGUCUGCAAGGAUGAAACUUAA